CCCUUAGAUGUUCUGGGCCGCACGCGUGCUACACUGAGUGGAUCAGCGGGUCAGGUUGCGCGAAAGUGUUUCCUAAUCUUGAAAUCCGCUCGUGAUGGGGAUGACGGUUGCAAUUUUCCGUCAUGAACGAGGAAUACCUUGUAAGCGCGGGUCAUCAUCCCGCGCUGAAUACGUCCCUGCCCUUUGUACACACCGCCCGUCGCUCCUACCGAUUGAGUGGUCCGGUGAGGCUUUGGGAUCUGAGCGGAAAGAGCGUUUCGCUGUUUCUGCUCGGAAAACUCAGUCGAACCUUAUCAUUUAGAGGAAGGAGAAGUCGUAACA
rnacentral:rRNA from 1 species